rnacentral:rRNA from 1 species
UUUAUAAAUGCGUAAUAGAAUACUAUGGAAAAAGUAACCAAAGAAGGUGAUAGUCCUGUAUGUGAAAUUCAUAAAUAAAUGACAAUGAGUAGGGCGGGACACGUGAAAUCCUGUCUGAAUAUGGGGGGACCAUCCUCCAAGGCUAAAUACUCCUCAAAGACCGAUAGCGAACUAGUACCGUGAGGGAAAGGUGAAAAGCAUUUCGAUAAGAAAGAUGAAAUAGAUCCUGAAACCGUACGCUUACAAGCGGUCGGAGCAUCGUAAGAUGUGACGGCGUGCCUUUUGCAUAAUGAGCCUACGAGUUAAUUUCACUAGCGAGGUUAAGUAGUUCAGCUACGGAGCCGCAGCGAAAGCGAGUCUGAAUAGGGCGAUAUAGUUAGUGGGAUUAGACGCGAAACCUUGUGAUCUAUCCAUGGGCAGGUUGAAGCUUUGGUAACACAAAGUGGAGGACCGAACCGGUUGACGUUGAAAAGUCUUCGGAUGACCUGUGGUUAGGGGUGAAAGGCUAAUC